AUGUUAUUUUCCUUGACCUUUUUUAUUAUCUUUUUAAAAUUUUCAUAAAUAUUUCUGACCAUAUCAAUUUAGGUUAUUGGACUUUGAUCAGUCUACUGAGUGGUAUGUGGUGCACAUCUUUAGGUGGGAAUGAACCAAGACUUGUUGAAGCUGCAAAUAAACAAUUAAGUACUUUGUCUUUUUACCACUCACUUUGGAAUCGCACCACUAAGCCAUCCCUGGAUUUCACAAGGAACUUGUAGAGACAUUUACUGCUAGGAAAAUGGGAAAAGCCUUUUUUACAAAUAGUGAUUCUGAAUCUAAUGAUUCUCAGGAUUAUAGUAUGCGUAUGAAGGCUGGGUAACUUAAGUCUGGUAAAGAACAAGGCUACAUUGAAGAGACACUCGGAGGUAUAUCCAAUUGAAUACAUACCAAAGGAACAAAGGGACUGCCAUAGUGAGAGCUUAGCCUGUACAAAUUCAGGUCAUGGCUCAUAAUUGGUGACCUUGGCUAAAA